GGGGACGACAGGCUUCGACGGAGCCGGCCGUGCGAGGGGUUGCAGGUCGAGGAUGUCGAUGGCCUCGUAAAAAAUCGGCACAAACCAAUACGUGCGGACCAUGAGUUCGCCCUCGCUGCCUAGAUAACUUCUAGGUUUUGAGAGUCGGUCCACCCUCGGCCCGUGGGGUGGGGCACCGGCUUCAGAAACGGGCUUACCCAAAGGGAUUGCCUUGACCCUGCGGGGACAUUCAAAAGGCUUGGUCUCCCGUAGUGCCUGCUGGCGCGGACCCCGGGAGAUGACGACAAAGCGCCGGCUAAACCUGUAGACGCCUUUCGACACGUGGCUGCGGACGCGGGUUCAAUUCCCGCCGUCUCCAUCA
rnacentral:tmRNA from 1 species